AAAUGAAUUCCGCCAUCGACAGAUGUGCGUCUCCAUGUGCCAAUAGAUGGACUGUGCCGAUGGAAGGAUUGACAGACUGAUGGAGGAAGAGGAGGAGGGAGAGAAGAAGAGGGAUGACAUCAUACGGUCCUCCUGAUGAGUCCGGAAGCCAUCAUCAACUACAGACUGUGCCCAAUUCUGGAUUUCCAAUCCAACAGGCCCUGCGAUGCAAACAGCAGACAAGAGCAUCAAUAUUUACAGUCUGCAGAAUGGGCCAAAGCCUGAAGGCAUAGAGGAGUUUCUCAUCACUCUCUUACUGUCUCAUCAUCAAUUUGACUGGCAAGCCUGAGGACACAAGACGGCUUGACGUAGGUACUGGCAGGACGUACAUAACCGAAGGGUGAGUCGGAAACACGUCCGUGAGGGGCAAACAAACCCUGAAACCUAUCAGACUCCAAAGCAGAUGGUCGCAGGCUUCCUGAUUCAUUUACACACACAUUUCAGAUUCAACUACAGCCCUGCGAUGGACUGGUGACCUGUCCAGGGUGAACCCCGGCCUCUCGCCUGAAAAUGAGCUGGGAUAGGCUCCAGCAGACCCCCGUGACCCUGCAAAGGAUAAAGC